rnacentral:rRNA from 1 species
AUUGAACGCUGGCGGCAGGCCUAACACAUGCAAGUCGAACGAGAGGCGGACGGGUGAGUAAUGUCUGGGCAACUGCCUGAUGGAGGGGGAUAACGACUGGAAACGGUAGCUAAUACCGCAUACCAUCAGAUGUGCCCCGAUGGGAUUAGCUAGUGGGUGGGGUAACGGCUCACCAAGGCGACGAUCCCUAGCUGGUCUGAGAGGAUGACCAGCCACACCGGAACUUAGACACGGUCCAGACUCCUACGGGAGGCAGCAGUGGGGAAUAUUGCACAAUGGGCGCAAGCCUGAUGCAGCCAUGCCGCGUGUAUGAAGAAGGCCGUCGGGUUGUAAAGUACUUUCAGCGGGGAGGCGUUACCCGCAGAAGAAGCACCGGCUAACUCCGUGCCAGCAGCCGCGGUAAUUC